rnacentral:lncRNA from 1 species
GCUCAGUCAAGCACAGUAAAGUAUUUAGAAAGAAAGCAAAUACUAUUUGAACCCAGGUUUGCUACUAGCCCACUUCAAAGAAGUAGAAUGAGGAGGAGGAGUGUAGGUACGUGUCUGAGUGUGUGUUUAGGGUUUACGUUAGGGGAAAAGGUGUCUGAGGUUGUGUUUAGGGUUUACGUUAGGAGAAAAGGUGUCUGAGGGUGUGUUUAGGGUUUACGUUAGGGGAAAAGGUGUCUGAGGGUGUGUUUAGGGUUUACGUUAGGGGAAAAGGUGUCUGAGCGUGUGUUUAGGGUUUACGUUAGGAGAAAAGGUGUCUGAGUGUGUGUUUAGGGUUUAUGUUAGGGGAAAAGGUGUCUGAGCGUGUGUUUAGGGUUUACGUUAGGGGAAAAGGUGUCUGAGUGUGUGUUUAGGGUUUACGUUAGG